rnacentral:lncRNA from 11 species
UUUAUUUACUGUGCUGAUUUUAGAUUUUUGUAACACUGAUAGCCAGAUUUUGUUCAUUUUCAUGGUUUCCUCGCUUUCUCUCACCUUGGACCUUCCACAGAUAUAUAAACCCCACUUGCCUAGUUUCCAACAGAGCUCACAAUCUCUGAGGAUGCCUGCCAUAGAUGUGGGCGAAACGUCGCGAGAGAAUGAUUCUGCAACAUGGCCACACAGCCCAGAAAACUCACAGCAACCCAGUGAUUCUGGCCAUGAAAGCCUUCGACAACACAUUUUCUAGGGGGUUAUUUGUUAUCUAGGGGCAACAGUUUGAAUCUGCCUUAAAUGGCCAACGCGGACGGGGCCUUUGUCGCCAGGCCAAGGAGGAGGGAGCGGGAAGGCAAAGGGCGAGUCUUUAUCGAGGACUGACAAGGCUGGAAGCGGAAGAGAAGCCGGUGCGGGAGGCUCCAUGAGCUGGAGGGGAAGGAGGGGGGAGGGAUGGAGGCGGCGGGGAAAGUGUGCUGCUUUUUCCUCUGGGAGCUCUUGCUGGCGCCCCUUUCCCCCCUCGCCUCUUUCCCCCCCAAAGGGCGCUUCCCAGCGCCAGGCAGAGAGCGAGCCAGAAGCCGACGAGGAGCCAGUCUCGGGCCCUGUGCGACGCGAAAAGAUGGCGCUGCCUCGCCUGGCUCCCCUCCCCCUCCAUCCUCCUCCUCUUCCCUCUCGGCUGCUUCCACUUCCUCCCCAGCAGCUCCGCUCCUGCAGUCGGACACCGUCCUUAAUAGCUCUCGGUUUCUGAUUUAACCCAUGAACACACAGGAACUUGCACAUGGGUCUCUUUUUUUUCUACCACAAUACUUAGUAUGAAUGUGCAUGGCAAAGUUAUGUGUAUGUACAUGGUAAGGGUAGCCACUUUGUCCAUUAAAAGAAACCUUGGAAUAAGUCUGUAGUUGAUAUACUCAAACAUCAUGUACAGUGAUGGGCUAGGAGAUUAUAUGGCAAGAGUGCUGAAGUCUGUGGGCUGGAUUCCAACUCUGCCUUCUAUUGCUGAUAAAAGAUGCCUCCACACAAUUUUAGCACCACAUCAUCAGGAUCCACAAACCCUUUGUUCGGCAUUAUCAGGGGGCUAGAGAGCUGCUGUGAGGAAGAGAAGAUGAGGAAAUCCAUUUCUACGGGACUGGUUUCGUACAUUGAGGUCUGGAUCUGACCCAGUAAUUGUUUGACCUGAUGUGAGAUCACAACAAGUUGGAGCAGCAGUAAACAGAAUCUGUUAUCUCUUUCUUUCCAUCAGCUUAGCUGAACUAAUGUCACAACAUUUUACAUUGACAGAGGAAUGAGAAGGAAAUAAGAGGAACAAGAAACAGAAGUGGAGAAAGAAGAGCAGAGGAAUGAGAAGGAAAUAAGAGGAACAAGAAACAGAAGUGGAGAAAGAAGAGCAGAGGAAUCUUGCCUCUCUAGAAAAAAAGGAAACAAAGGUCAAAGUAAGAAAAUCAACAGAAGCCUAAAGGCAGAAAUGGAAGAAAGUGAUCCAAAGAAGUGAAGAAUGAAGGGAAAGCUAGAAUAACAAGGCUGAGAAUAGUGAUUAUGUCUGGCUGCAGUUGUGAACUUUGGUUUCUGAAUUACACCAUCAAAGCUGUUUUAUAGUAGGUGAAACAAGGGUACACCUGAAAGGGGCAUUAUAAGUCACACUGAAACAGUCAGCAGUCAGCACUCGCACACUGGCAACUAGACUUAUCACCCUUUUAAAGUACUUCAAUAAAAUAUAUUUUAAUUAUAAAUACCAACAGCUUGCAGAUAAUCCCUGUGCUUUUGCUCCAAUUGUCCAAAGUACUUGAGGAUAAUCCAGAAAUGGAGAACUUGUGUAGCUCUAAUGCCAUCUAAAUAAAAUACUUUUGCUUACACAUGUUACAGUAGAGUCUCACUUAUCCAACAGAACAUUGGAUAAGUGAAAAUAUUGGAUAAUAAAGAGGGAUUAAGGAAAAGCCUAUUAAACAUGAAAUUACAUUAUGAUUUUACAAAUUAAGCACUAAAACAUCAUGUUUUUCAACAUGUCUGCCACUUGUAUGGGAGCGUGGCUGCAUUUGUGUUGUUGUUGGGUGUGUUGGCCCAUUGCGCGUUGCUGCCUAGAGAAACAGCAGUGGAUCCGGGUGGAAGGCAGACUGCGUUGGAUAAUACAGAAUGUUGGAUGAGGGAAAGUUGGAUAAGAGAGACUCUACUGUAUUGUAAUUUCCUCUAUUAGCCAAAGAUUAAGGUUAUUCUUUUUUUUUCUUCAAAAGAAAGUUAAACACAGAAAGAAAGGUGGGUGCAGGAUAUCCCUGAAAAAAUGAUCUUGGACACUCCUCCCCCUUUUUUGGUCUGCUUCAGAGUUUACAUAUUUAUUUAUUUACUAUAUUUAUAUCCCACCCUAUCUCACUCCGAGGGGGACUCAGAACGGCUUACAACAUGGCAAUAUUCAAUGCUGCAUAUACAAUAAAAUGUGAUGGCAUCAUAUACAAAAACAGAUAAAACAUAUACAAUACAUUAAAAGCAUGAUACCUAUUCCAGAAGUUGUCAUUUGUGCUGCUACAGUUAUGCCAGUUCUAUAUUGCACUAUCCAAACACCUGAUCCCAUAACCAGGUAUUCACUCUUUUCCUGAAAACCAGGAAGGAAGGGGCCAG